rnacentral:rRNA from 2 species
UGUACACACCGCCCGUCGCUCCUACCGAUUGGGUGUGCUGGUGAAGUGUUUGGAUCGGUAUCAAUGGGGGGCAACCUCUGUUGGUACUGAGAAGAACAUU